rnacentral:lncRNA from 1 species
UCGAGAUCUGGGCGCAGAUCUGGAAAUCCGCCGUGCCGAGUCGCCCCGAGCCAGGCCGCCGCCGUCGCUGUGGCCGAGCACCAGUCUCGACGCCGUCAAACCGUACUGUCGCCCCCGCGCCUCGCCGCUGCUGUUUUUCCCGACGCAGUCCAAGUUUAAGGCCGCCAUCAUCAAGCCGUGCCGCCGUGCCGUGCCAACGCCGAGAGCAGGUGACGAUAGAUCCUGCCCACGCCAUACCGAUUUCUGCUCGAAGCUCUGACCGUUGUCACCGCCGUCGCCGCCGUCGCCACCGCGCACCUCAGCCUUCCCCUCUCCGGCGCCGCGUUCUCGAUUUUCCGGGUCGCGGCCUCGGGUCAGUGGGUCGGACCCAGGGCUACGAGUCGGGUAGGGUUUCUCCGUAUUUUGGGGGGCGGCGGAAACCGGGUCGGGGUUCGGGUCGGAUCCG